rnacentral:rRNA from 1 species
UAGGGAAUCUUCCGCAAUGGACGAAAGUCUGACGGAGCAACGCCGCGUGAGUGAAGAAGGAUUUCGGUUCGUAAAACUCUGUUGUUAGGGAAGAAAAAAUGUAUAGUAACUAUAUACAAAAGAGACGGUACCUAACCAGAAAGCCACGGCUAACUACGUGCUAGCAGCCGCGGUAAUACGUAGGUGGCAAGCGUUGUCCGGAAUUAUUGGGCGUAAAGCGCGCGCAGGUGGUUUAGAAAGUCUGAUGUGAAAGCCCACGGCUCAACCGUGGAGGGUCAUUGGAAACUAAUAAACUUGGGUGCAGGAGAGAAAAGUGGAAUUCCUAGUGUAGCGGUGAAAUGCGUAGAGAUUAGGAGGAACACCGGUGGCGAAGGCGACUUUCUGGACUUUUACUGACGCUCAGGUACGAAAGCGUGGGGAGCAAACAGG